CCGCUCACCUGCGUGCUCUGGCAACAACCGCUUUCGGACUUCGGUUUCCCUCCACCGGCGCUCCAAAGACCAGGAUAAACUGGAGUUCCAAAUCGUAGUCCGUGUCAACAAGUUCAGUCUCACCAAUCUUAUCAGGUCAUCUCAAGUCCAGUGACUCAUCAACCAGAACAAAUCAGUACAUGUUGCGCCCCAUCGUCUGUACCUCCUGUGGAAGCUCGUCGCAUACGUAGACAAUUGUUGAAUGAGAGAAGGUUAAUAU